ACUUUACCUUUUCUGUAGAGUUAUUAUCCCAUUCCUAUUAUUGUUAUUCACCACCCAUGUGGGUACUGUAUAUUUUUUCUUUAUCAUUUGAAUGGCUAUAAAACGAAGUGUCCCUUGUCCAGCUUGCUUGUUUGAAAGUCUAGAAGAACAUCAUAUCCACUAAUUAAGGCAGUGAGUGGAGCACUCUUUUGAUGAUCACUCUCCCAUUAUGAAGCACCGACACCGGACACGACACGAAGACGUAAACACCUGGCCAAAAUAUAGAAUGCAGUAUGAAUUAGCGAACUACUGUGAUCAAGAUAUAAAUCACACCUACCAGUGAUUUGUUUUUGUCACUAGUCUCUUCCAUGGAAGUUGAAACUCACUCCCUCUCCCCCACCUUUGAAUUAAUC
rnacentral:lncRNA from 1 species